rnacentral:rRNA from 1 species
CUUGGUCAUUUAGAGGAAGUAAAAGUCGUAACAAGGUUUCCGUAGGUGAACCUGCGGAAGGAUCAUUACUGAAGAAACAAGGGUUUUGAGACUGCGUCCUUCAAUUGGGCGUGUGCUCGACUCUUACUCUUUCAUAUCCCAUACACACCUUUGUGCACCAAGGGACCCUUGUGUCCCCUUUUUUUCAUAAAUACCGAGUUAUAUGCAUGUAUAGUUUGUAUACUCUACGGAGUUAUUAUAAAUACAACUUUCAACAACGGAUCUCUUGGCUUUCGCAUCGAUGAAGAACGCAGCGAACGUGCGAAACGUAAUGUGAAUUGCAGAAUUCAGUGAAUCAUCGAAUCUUUGAACGCAUCUUGCGCUCCUUGGUAUUCCGAGGAGCAUGCCUGUUUGAGUGUCGUGAAUAACUCUCAAUUUCAAAUAUUUUUUUUUAAAAAAAAAAAAGAAUAUCUGACAUUGGACUUGGGUGUUGUCGUGUUUCUACGACUCGUCCUAAAUGUAUUAGCGAUCUGCCCUGAUCACACACAAUGUGAUAAGUAAAAAUAAAGCAUUGUUAUGGUUGGGUUUGAAAGAUGGCUUCUAAUCGUCGUAAUGACAAAUAAAAGACCAUGUCGUUUGACCUCAAAUCAGGCAGGACUACCCGCUGAACUUAAGCAUAUCAAUAAGCGGAGGAAAAGAAACUAACAAGGAUUCCCCUAGUAACGGCGAGUGAAGAGGGAAAAGCUCAAAUUUAAAAUCUGGCGGUCUACGGCCGUCCGAGUUGUAAUCUAGAGAAGUGUUUUCCGCGCUGGACCGUGUACAAGUCCUUUGGAACAAGGCGUCAUAGAGGGUGAGAAUCCCGUCUACGACACGGACUGCCAAGCGCUUUGUGAUACACUCUCAACGAGUCGAGUUGUUUGGGAAUGCAGCUCAAAAUGGGUGGUAAAUUCCAUCUAAAGCUAAAUAUUGGCGAAAGACCGAUAGCGAACAAGUACCGUGAGGGAAAGAUGAAAAGCACUUUGGAAAGAGAGUUAAACAGUACGUNAAAUUGUUGAAAGGGAAACGCUUGAAGU